rnacentral:lncRNA from 1 species
AGUAUUUAUAUUUAGUGUAUUUAUAAAUUUAGAAACACGUCAGAGGGAAUUCCCAGUUUUGAUAAAGUGCGAGAGUUCUCUGAAUUCCGAUAAAUCUAUUUCUGUCAUAUAAGAACUGAAGUGGAGUUUUUCUUAUAUGUUACCGUUAUGAAACUGGUACUUGAGAUUGUAAUUCCAUAAAGAAAUAGAGAACCAUCUAGGUCGUUUAAUAAAC